UGAACAUCAUAGGAAUGAAGCCAAGAUAUACGUAUUAAAUCAACUCUUAAUGAAAUCUAGUGAGAUAGAAGAGCCUUGCACCUAUUGAUCCACUAAUACGGGGCAAAUACAACCACAUGACAUAAUGAGCAAAUGGGAAGAGGAACCAGUUGCAGAAAACAGAUUCACCUCUAGGUGCUUUACUACAGAAAGGAAUUUACUACAAGGCAUUAAACAGCUUACAAGAACAUUGGGAAGGAUGAAGAAAUAGACUUAAAAUUGAGCUUUCAUCAAAGCUCACCCAAAUCUACACUGCAGAACUGAGCACCCAGAUGCACUGCUGCCGUUUCUAUGCUCAGGAAGUCACUUCACGACUACAGAACAGGCUCUACAGCUGCCUGAUUUCGAAACAUGUCACCGCUGCCAUUGCUACAAGUAAUACGCCUCGAGGAUCAGGGAACAAUCGCUCGCUCCUAAACGACACUGUACCUGUUACAAUCCAAAUCAGAAAAAUAAAUGACUCAUGCUUUGCAUUUUUAGUUUCCCAGUUCCUGAGGCAGAGCAAGUAAUACCAGAAAGGGGUUGGAAUAGAUGUUAUAUCCAUGUCCAUCAUAUUCAUCAUAUAUGGUGAGUUGGAAUAUAAGAAAUGCUAUAAUACGUCCACUUAAUGUCUUACUUUGCCUUGAAGUGCACAAACUAGACAAAAUAUGAAACGUCUCUGAAUAACAAUAACAUUUUAAAAACAAAACUCCUGUUAUGUUUCUCUGUGUGUAAAAUGUCUAAGAGCUUCCAUUAAAUUAAUAAAUCCAAGGGAAUGGUACCAAUGGAUUGCACACAGGAGCAAGUAAGUCUCUGCUCAUAAAAAAUUUUACAGCUACAGCUUGGAAGACAAUGACUGGAAACAUGACACCCAAAGCCCAGACUAAUACUUCUGUAUGUAAUACUCAUAGGAGUAGAAUUUAUAUCAAAAAAUAACACACACAAAUAAGUGUACAGAGGAUAAAUGUGGAGCUUGGUAUGUUUUACAAAGUGUAAUAAGCACCAAGAUCCAGAAAUUGCCCCCCUCUUGUCUCUUCCCAGUCACCUCUUUUUCAAGUUAACUACCAUACCAACUAAUAACAUCAUAAAUUAGUUGUCUUUGAACUUUAUAUAAAUAGAAUCAUGCCCUGUGUACUCUUGUAUUUGGCUUCUUGUGCUCAAAAUUGUUUGUGAUAUUUAAGCGUGUUGGUGGGGACCAGAAUAUUCUAUUCAUUUUAAUUACUGAAGAGCAUUUGAUUGUAUCAAUACACUACAGUUUUUCUUGUCUAUUCUAAUGUUGAUGGACUUUAGGGUGGUUUCUAGUUUGGAGCUACUAGAAAUAACGCUAUGAAUAUAUUUGUAUAACGCUUUUGGUAAACAUAUAUACUUGUUUUUAGGGGGUAUUAUUUAUAUCUAGGGAUAGGAAUAUAUCUAGGAAUUCAUAAGGUAAUGUAUCAGUUUUAAUAGACUUGACCAAGACUUUCUUUUAAUUAUUGUAGCUAUAUAAUAUUUUCCAAAAUGCUUAUAUCAAUUUGCACUCCCACCAGCAAUG